ensembl:lncRNA
GACAGACUGAAUUGCUUGUUAAUGAUAGAGGGAGAGGGUUUUCUGCAGCAGGUCACCUGUAAGACAGAAAGAAAGUGGAAUUAGACACACUUCCAAUAAACCUGGCUUUACUGUAUUUUUCAGACUAUAAGGCACAUUUAAAAGCCUUUAAUUUUCUCAAAAAUAGACAGUGCACCUUAUGUAUGGUUGUGUUUACUGAUUUCAAACCAAUUCUAUGUGGUACACGGCACUCACGGCAUCUGUCAAAUGUUUUAAUAUGACUUUGGUAAGCUACAAAGCAGCACCACUUCAUGUAUUGUCGGAGCAUGGCUACCAUAGUCAGCACCCUCGUAGAGUAAUUCGUACUGUGCUUCAACAUAAUAUGGUGUGUGUGUAUAAGGGCCUGGCACCUGUUGAGAGCCAUGCUUAUGAAGCAGAUUUCAAACUGAUCAAUCCACAUUCAUCAAUACACAAAUCCUGAAAAGUGAGUGAAUUGUUCUGUAUUUUAUGUCUUACAACUGAACAAUUUUGAGAGUUAUUGUAAAUGAGUUGAAUAAAGUUUGACUUAUCUGUUUUGUUUGACUUAAUGUGCCUUAGAAUUUAGUGCACCUUACAGUCCGAAAAAUACAGAACAUAUAUAUCAUUACACACUGAAGAGUUGUACAGUACAUUAUUAGAUUCAACUGAAUGAAAAUGUUUAACAUAUGGUGGUGGAACAUUUCUAAGGAUAUUUUUGCAUUCUAUUAACACAAUAAAAACAAACAGAGUCUGUAAACCAAGAUGUGGUGCUACAGUAACUUACUGUAAACAUUAUAUGGUCAAGCUAAACCCACACAAUGAAGUCAGAGCAGACAGUUUCAGACCACCUGGUUUAAACACUUCACAUGCACUCAACUCACAUGUUCCUAAAUGCCCAAAGGUCUCAAAUUCCCGAUUCUGUGUGUACUUACCUGGUACAACACUAUAUCAUAAUGUCUGGGGAGCCGUUAACAUAAAAGUAAAAAAUAAUUUACUCAGUAUGACUUUUGGCAAAAUGAAAAAUUUGGAGACAGAUGACUCCUAUACAGCAGUUUCUACAUAUUUCAGUCAAAUAUGGGGCAUGUUUAAUACACACCCCGCUAAAUCUACAAUAAACUUAGCAUGGCCGAUAUUAGGGCCUAAUUAAAAUGUAGUAUGAUGAUAAGAGAGAUUUGUAAGUCUGGAAAUGUUUUCAUAGACUUUUCUAUUAUUUGAUAAUUGCCAAGAGCUGUGCUGACUCACAGCACUAAACUGAAUCUCCUAUAAUGAGAAACAUUUCCUAGCACUGCACAUCAGACAAACCUUUACUUACCAGACUUGAGACGAUCAGAUCAGCAGUCUAGAGAAAGGAAACAAUUCAUCAGAUCACUGUUUGAUGAUUCAGACUGUUGAGCCUCUUCACACACAAUCCAAUUCACUAUGACAUAAAUUAACUAGUAAAAUCCUCAAUUACUUUAAGGCUUUAUGAGCUUACUGUAGUGUAAAGAGGAGAUAAAUGAACUGCAGCGCCUCACAUGGCAUGUGUAAUAAAAGCAUUCAUUACUACAGAAAUGCAAAGAACAGCCAUCAAUUGGCACAAGUGCAGGAUAUACCAAAUAUUUCCUACACAGAAGCCUUGUGGCUCCAACAUUUUCUACAACAGGUCAGUGCUAAUAAAGUGUGAAAAACCAAAACUUUUAAAAAUGUUAGAUACAAAGUAAUUAUAUAAAUCAGAAGCAACAGAAAACCUCAUCAUGUCUGACAUGAAUAUAUAAAUCUUAAAAUACAUUUAAAUAUUAACAUGUUACAAUAGCAGAGGUGCACCAUGUUUUGUAAUUAAAAUUAAAUGUCUUAAAAUAUUACACUAAAAAGUCAUUUCAUUGUACCCGUUGCUAGGAAUAUUUAUGAAUUUUUGCAGUGUACCUUUUUGGCAACUUUUCUAUCUAAUUUUAAAACACAUUAUAUUCACUAAAUAAGUAAUAAACUAAUUAGACACACUGGCUGUAAUUUACCUAACAAUGUCCACUCACACCUCUGGUUCUCUUCGCUUUUAUUACUGUUAAAGCUAUUACUUAUACCGAGUCAGGCAAAAUACUUCUACAAUGUUCUGACUUUAAUGUAAUACAUCAGAAUUUGACAGACAAUAUAAAUCAAUACCUGUGCAGCUCUUAAGUGUUUGAGCAACCACUUAUACUGACUCCCCUAAAACACUUUCAUUGUUUUGUCUGCUACUUAAAUCCACAAACAUAAGGAGAAAAUGAACAACUGUAUAAAGACAUCUGACAUUUAGUUAUGUUUAGAUUUGAUAAGCCAUAAGAAAUUUAAAU